ensembl:snRNA U6 U6 spliceosomal RNA
GUGCUUUUUUAGGCAGCAGAUACAGGCAAAUUGAAACCAUUCAGAGAUUAGCACGGCCCUUGUACAAAAAUGACACAAAAAUUUGAGAAUCAUUUUAUAUUUUU